rnacentral:rRNA from 1 species
CCUACGGGUGGCUGCAGUGAGGAAUAUUGGUCAAUGGGCGCGAGCCUGAACCAGCCAAGUAGCGUGAAGGAUGACUGCCCUACGGGUUGUAAACUUCUUUUAUAAAGGAAUAAAGUGAGGCACGGGUGCCUUUUUGUAUGUACUUUAUGAAUAAGGAUCAGCUAACUCCGUGCCAGCAGCGGCGGUAAGACGGAGGAACUGAGCGGUAUCCGGAUUUAUGUGGUUUAAAGGGAGCGUAGAGGGGUUGUUAAGUCAGUUGAGAAAGUUUGUGGCUCAACCGUAAAAUUGCAAUUGAAACUGGCAGCCUUGAGUACAGUUGAGGUAGGCGGAAUUCGUGGUGUAGCGGUGAAAUGCUUAGAUAUCACGAAGAACUCCGAUUGAGAAGGCAGCCUACUAAACUGCCACUGACAUUGAUGCUCGAAAGUGUGGGUAUCAAACAGGAUUAGAUACCCGAGUAGUC